rnacentral:tRNA from 1 species
UCCCUGGUGGUCUAGUGGCUAAGAACCGGCGCUUUUACCCCCCCGUGGCCCGGGUUCGAUUCCCGGUCAGGGAA